rnacentral:lncRNA from 10 species
UUUUUCACUCACAUCAUCACAUUUAUGUUUAAAACGGUGCACAGUGCAGAGUGGGCCCUGGAGGACUGGUUCUUGAAUAGUCCCCAGACUGUCUGUCUGACACCAGGUAAGGAGAGUUGACACACAGGUAAGGAAAGAAUAAGUAAUCAUGGAGAUAGGUCAGUAGACCUGUCUCCAUGGGAAACAACUAAAACUGAAAGAGGGGGGACAAAUUUUUAAAUCUUCAUUUCUCCAAGUAAGUUCUCAGCACAGCACACUCUACAAUGAGAGAUGUUCUGUCCUAUUUUGGACUGUGCUAGAGAGAACUGAGGAUUAGAUUUAAGGUAAUUAGGGAUGGACCAGGAAGGAGAAACACCCCAUGGUGAAAAGUGGGGGUGUG